GAUGAACGCUGGCGGCGUGCCUAAUACAUGCCAGUCGAGCGAACAGACGAGGAGCUUGCUCCUCUGACGUUAGCGGCGGACGGGUGAGUAACACGUGGAUAACCUACCUAUAAGACUGGGAUAACUUCGGGAAACCGGAGCUAAUACCGGAUAAUAUAUUGAACCGCAUGGUUCAAUAGUGAAAGACGGUUUUGCUGUCACUUAUAGAUGGAUCCGCGCCGCAUUAGCUAGUUGGUAAGGUAACGGCUUACCAAGGCAACGAUGCGUAGCCGACCUGAGAGGGUGAUAGGCGACACUGGAACUGAGACACGGUCCAGACUCCUACGGGAGGCAGCAGUAGGGAAUCUGCCGCAAUGGGCGAAAGCCUGACGGAGCAACGCCGAGUGAGUGAUGAAGGUCUUCGGAUCGUAAAACUCUGUUAUUAGGGAAGAACAAAUGUGUAAGUAACUAUGCACGUCGUGACGGUACCUAAUCAGAAAGCCACGGCUAACUACGUG
rnacentral:rRNA from 1 species